CCCUUAGAUGUCCUGGGCCGCACGCGCGUUACACUGAUGCAUUCAACGAGCUUAUAACCUUGGCCGAGAGGCCUGGGCAAUCUUGUUAACGUGCAUCGUGAUAGGGAUAGAUUAUUGAAAUUAUUAAUCUUGAACGAGGAAUUCCUAGUAAACGCAGAUCAUCAAUCUGCAUUGAUUACGUCCCUGCCCCUUGUACACACCGCCCGUCGCUGCCCGGAACUGAGCCGUUUCGAGAAAGCCGGGGACUGACGGCUUGUGGGUGCGCAAGCACUUCUUGCCGAUGGAAACCAGUUUAAUCGGUAUGGCUUGAACCGGGCAAAAGUCGUAACA
rnacentral:rRNA from 1 species